rnacentral:tRNA from 1 species
CAUAAAAUAGCUUAAAAUAAAAGCAAUUUAUUUACAUUAAAAAGAUACAAAUAUGUUUUUAUGA